rnacentral:rRNA from 1 species
GUAGGUGGCAAGCGUUGUCCGGAAUUAUUGGGCGUUAAAGCGCGCGCAGGCGGUUCUUUAAGUCUGAUGUGAAAGCCCACGGGCUCAACCGUGGAGGGUCAUUGGAAACUGGAGAACUUGAGUACAGAAGAGGAAAGCGGAAUUCCACGUGUAGCGGUGAAAUGCGUAGAGAUGUGGAGGAACACCAGUGGCGAAGGCGGCUUUCUGGUCUGUAACUGACGCUGAGGCGCGAAAGCGUGGGGAGCAAACAGGAUUAGAUACCCUGGUAGUCCACGCCGUAAACGACGAGUGCUAAGUGUUAGGGGGUUUCCGCCCCUUAGUGCUGCAGCUAACGCAUUAAGCACUCCGCCUGGGGAGUACGGCCGCAAAGGCUG